rnacentral:rRNA from 1 species
UGAACGCUAGCGGUAGGCUUAACACAUGCAAGUCGAGGGGUAACGAUAUCUUCGGAUAGGCGACGACCGGCGCACGGGUGAGUAACGCGUAUGCAACCUACCAGAAGCUGGAGAAUAGCCCCCGGAAACGGGGAUUAAUGCUGCAUAAUGUUCUGAUAUUUCCUAAUAUUUGAACCAAAGCUCCGGCGGCUUCUGAUGGGCAUGCGUGACAUUAGUUUGUUGGUGAGGUAACGGCUCACCAAGACGACGAUGUCUAGGGGGUCUUAAAGGAUGAUCCCCCACACUGGUACUGAGACACGGACCAGACUCCUACGGGAGGCAGCAGUGGGGAAUAUUGGUCAAUGGGCGAAAGCCUGAACCAGCCAAGCCGCGUGCAGGAUGACGGCCCUAUGGGUUGUAAACUGCUUUUAUACAGGAAGAAUCCCCUGACGUGUCAGGGAUUGACUGUACUGUAAGAAUAAGCAUCGGCUAACUCC